GAGUCAUUGGGACUCUGUUAAACCUAAAGGCGCAAUGAAAGUAAAGGUCCGCCUCGCGCGGACCGAGGGAGGAUGGGCCCGUCCGCGGGCGGGCCCCGCACUCCCGGGGCGUCUCGUUCUCAUCGCGAGAAGAGGCGCACCCAGAGCGUACACGCUGGGACCCGAAAGAUGGUGAACUAUGCCUGGUCAGGACGAAGUCAGGGGAAACCCUGAUGGAGGUCCGUAGCGAUUCUGACGUGCAAAUCGAUCGUCGGAACUGGGUAUAGG
rnacentral:rRNA from 1 species